rnacentral:rRNA from 1 species
UACGAAGGGGGCUAGCGUUGCUCGGAAUCACUGGGCGUAAAGCGCACGUAGGCGGAUUGCUAAGUCAGGGGUGAAAUCCUGGAGCUCAACUCCAGAACUGCCUUUGAUACUGGCAACCUUGAGUCCGGGAGAGGUGAGUGGAACUGCGAGUGUAGAGGUGAAAUUCGUAGAUAUUAGGAAGAACACCAGUGGCGAAGGCGGCUCACUGGUCCGGUACUGACGCUGAGGUGCGAAAGCGUGGGGAGCAAACAGG